UCUGGGUUCCCUGACUCAAGUAUUAAUUUUUAAAAUCCUUGCGGUCCCCACUUCUGCACUCAGAGUAACAGAAUGGGGAUUCAGCCUUGACAA